rnacentral:ncRNA from 1 species
GAAUAGACAGUCGCCUAAAGCGACUUUUUUUAUAACUGAAAUCUAGUCAAAUUAAUACUUUCAAAGGAAGGAUCAAAUUG